rnacentral:tRNA from 1 species
GCGCCCGUAGCUCAAUGGAUAGAGUACUUGGCUUCGAACCAAGCGGUUACACGUUCGAAUCGUGUCGGGCGUA